UCUCUCUCUGAUUGGGUGAGGAUCCCAAUCAAAAAUGUUAUCUUGUGUGUACGUUUGGUGGGUGUUUAUGGAUGGCCCUCUUUGUAUUCUUCCACAGCUUUCUUGAACUGCAUCAUCUGAGAGAAAACCAAAAAAAAAAAAAAAAAAAAGGAAAAAAAGAGAUCGGGAGAUCUUAAUUUGCAUGUCCAAUUAAGACUCUCUAUAACUCAUGUUUUAAAUUAUGUAAUAUCACUCUUAAUUGCUUGCGGUUCAAUAAAGCUGUGGGAAGAUACCAAUAGGGUCAAAAGCAAAAAAAAAAAAAGGUGUUCAAAUCGGAAUUCAUGGCUCAUCUCUCUCGGUACUGUAGACUUAAAGCAGAACAAGGAGGAAUAAAGAAUUUCAUUAAAGUUAAUCACUUCAGGUUAAACGCCGGCUAUGUCACUUUUGACAAGUCAGAAAUAAAGGGCUUAUAAUGAAAUUUCUAGUACAUUGAUUUUUUAUCCCCCCUAAUGAAAAAUGGUUAUAAGAGUAGAAGGUAGAAGGUGUGCCCAGUUGACUAGAGGAAGCAUUGGAUUCCCCUAUCACAUAUGGAUCCCUUACGAAGUGGAGUGACCAUAUACGGACUCACCGCUGUUCAACUAAGUUAAAGCCUACACUUUGAUCACAAGAACGAACAACCUUACCAUUCCAUCAAAUGUCAAGCUAGUUUUGUUUCCACAUCUUACUGCAGAACUACUGGUAUUUACAUAAGAUAUGAGAAGAGCUUAGGACUCCUCAAGCCCUGAAAACUUGGUAGAGAAAAAGAGGGUCUCUAAUGUUGGCCUUUUAUACUCAGUACCAACAGCUCAGAAUCACCAUGCCCUCUUGCCUACUGGCCCUAUUUUUAAAUUUGUAUUUUUACUUUGGACCUAUUAUAUAUAUAUAUAUAUACACACACA